rnacentral:rRNA from 1 species
UACGUAGGUGGCAAGCGUUGUCCGGAUUUACUGGGCGUAAAGAGCGCGCAGGCGGUCGUUCAAGUCGCGUGUGAAAGCCCCCGGCUCAACUGGGGAGGGUCACGCGAUACUGAUCGACUCGAAGGCAGGAGAGGGAAGUGGAAUUCCCGGUGUAGUGGUGAAAUGCGUAGAUAUCGGGAGGAACACCAGUGGCGAAGGCGACGACCUGGACCAAUACUGACGCUGAGGUGCGAAAGCGUGGGGAGCAAACAGG